rnacentral:lncRNA from 1 species
AAGAAAUCCCACGGGAAAAAUCUUGCGAGGAAGUAAAGCUGCCCACACGGGUGCCGCAAACUGUGCGCACAUGCAUGCGCCCACAGCAGGAAUGGGGCAUGCGCACGGCGUGCACGCCCAUCUGCACUCACGCACGCACGAGAUGUGUACACGUGCAUGUACGAUCUACGCGCACAGUGUGGGGACAGGUCCUAUGCGUGUCUUGUUACGCAUGUCACCUCAUGCGAGAACAGGCACCAUACACUGUACACGUGCCAUCCGCGUAGCAGGCCUACGCAA